rnacentral:lncRNA from 1 species
UAGCUUAAAAGCGUAGGCUUACAUUUUGAGGGAAAAUCUAUUUGGAGGAAAUCAGUACUAGACAUGCUAAAAGGUUAAGUUAACUCCCGGUCCUAUUGCUGCUUCUAAAACUCACCAGCAAUUCCUUUCCUCAGGGGGAGAAAAAGAUGGUAGAUCUUAUGUAUCAGAAUAUCCUCAUUCAGUUUGUAAAUGCCAUUGCCUUUGCAUUAGGUUCUGCUUGGAAGAAACUCCCCAGCAGUUUUGGAGAGAGUACAAGCAAAGUCUGUCCCCUCCUUCGUUGUUUUACUGUGGGUGGCAGAGCCUUAGUAUAGUGAAUAAUCUACAAAUGGACAGGAGCCCCUGGUAACAACCUCUUAGGCAGAGCUGGUUU